rnacentral:lncRNA from 1 species
UAGGGGAAACGUAAUAAGGGAGAGGAAAAAAAUAUGAGAAACUGAAAAAAUGGAAAUAAAGUGUUUGUAAAUGGGGAGGGGAGGAAGGGGUGAAGGGAGGGCAGGGACAAGGGGAAAAAAUGAGAAUCAAGACCUAUCAUGUAAAGGUACAGGAUCCCAGUAAUGAAUGUAACUGUAUUGUAUACCAAGAUUGUACCAAUAAACUCAAUAAAAAGAAGAAGAAAAAGAAGCUAUUUCCACUGGAAGACUGUAUAGCAACAAACCCUCCCUGCUACAAUUUAUACACAACUAUGCACCUCAAGGUGCCUUCCCUCUGUUCUCUCACAGAGAUGGUCUCAGUGAGCCCUGGCAGGAGGAAGCAAUGCCAAGCUGGAGGACUAGGACCCUACAAAGACAAGAGACUGCAAUCUGCUGUCCUGCUCGGCCAUGCCCUUGGUCCCACCUGCCCUGACAACCCCGUGAACACUCCACUGCUGAGCAGGUGGCAGAAAGGGAACCAAUGCAAAAAUCCCUGGCCUGCCACCUGCACUCUGCGGGGACCUAUAAGACACAACAGUGACAGCAACUGCUCUCCUUCACUUGAUGACCACCGUGUGCCAGAUGGUGUCAGCUGCUUUAUUUGAUUUAUUCCUCAGAGUAAGUUAUGAAGGACAAUGCCCUUUGCAGGUGAAACUGAGGCACAGGGCAGGGGAUUUAGAGCUCAGUGGUCCUGCUGCCUGCCUUGCAAGAGCAAGGUCCUGAGUCCGAUCCCUGGUACCAAAAACAAACAAACAAACAAACAAACAAACAAACAAAAAAACCCUGAGGUACAGAGCAGUUAAGUCACUUGCCUCCCUUUAGCAGGUAGUACAGCUGGGGUUUGAGUCCAGGUCUGAAGUUGUAUUCUGAAACAUCACACUCACUGCCUUCCACAGCAGGUGACUUCAGCGAGUCUCUUAAACUAUGGAAUGGGAGUUCCUGGGCUGGAGUGGAUGAAUCCUUAAAUCCAUGCCAUUUCUCAACUUCUGGUCUCACAUCUCUUCUAGGAGCACUGAGGACAGAAGGGGCACCUACUUCCUGCCUGGUACUGUGGGGAAAGAGGAAACAAGGCUCGGCCUGUUUCCUGUGGCAAAGCCUGUAGCUCCUUCCUCUGGGCUCCUCACUUUCAAGAGAUUAUUUUUCACUCUGU